AUAUGUGUGUACAUAUGUAUGUGUACAUGUGCGUGUAUAUAUGCAUAUGUAUGUAUGUAUGUAUGUAUA
rnacentral:miRNA from 1 species